UACCCACAGUAUCUUCCUUCCCAGGAAGCAGGGUUAUUUGUCCUUAUUUCAUAAACAAAGAAAUGGAGCCCCUGAGAGCCACAGUGACAUGCCUGAGAGCAUCAACCUGGGCGGCAUCCAGGAUGGGCUCAAACUCAGGGGGAAGUUGAUCCCACGGCCACUGAAAUAGCCGGAUACUCCUCUGGCCUUCCCUCCCACCCUGAGGGAGACACCCGGAGGAGCAGAUCCCCAGGGAAUUCAGAACAGCUGCCACGGAACCUCCCCUGAAACUGCAAGGGCAUUCCCGGCAUGCCUACUCAACAGCCUGAGGAGCUGGGCUUGUCUCUUCCUUUCCUAGCACUUCCAGGGCACCAGCUGAGAGACAGAAUUUUUGGAAGAACUUAGGGAAGAAACUAAGAAAAGACAACAGCACACAGCAACAAGCAGUCACCCGGGCCUCUCAUGUCACCGAGAACAUUAUGGUGGGUGCCUGUGAGCUCUUCCUGACCACCCAAGACUUCUAGGAUGCUUUCCCGACCACCCUGCUCCACCCAGGGCAGAGUUGCCAACUCCUUGAUGCCUCCUGUGUUGCAAUCGCAGUCAGAUGAGGUCCCAGGGCCCCAGGGUGGGCGGCAGCUCACCGUAGCCGUGCUCGUACUCUCGGUGUCGACGCCGGCGGUGGUGAUGGUGGUGGUGGUGGUGGCGGUGGUGGCGGUGGCGGUGCCGCUGAAGCCGGGCCUGCCUG